rnacentral:rRNA from 1 species
UGGAACAGGGCGCCAUUGAGGGUGAGAGCCCCGUGCGGCACGCGUUUAAGCUUUAAGACCCUUCUGACGAGUCGAGUUGUUUGGGAAUGCAGCUCUAAGUGGGUGGUAAAUUCCAUCUAAGGCUAAAUACUGGCGAGAGACCGAUAGCGAACAAGUACUGUGAAGGAAAGAUGAAAAGCACUUUGAAAAGAGAGUGAAACAGCACGUGAAAUUGUUGAAAGGGAAGGGUAUUGGGCUCGACAUGGGGACUGCGCACCGUUGCUUCUUGUAGGCGGCGCUCUGUGCGGUUUCUGGGCCAGCAUCAGUUUUUGCCGCGGGAGAAUGGGGGGAGGAACGUGGCUCUUCGGAGUGUUAUAGCCUCUCUCAGAUGCCGCGAGCGGGGACUGAGGUCUGCGAUUCGUUCAAGGAUGCUGGCACAACGGCGCAAUACCGCC